GUGCCGUGGCUGUAUGUCAGAAACACAGACCUAGGUGCCGUGGCUGUAUGUCAGAAACACAGACCUAGGUGCCGUGGCUGUAUGUCAGAAACACAGACCUAGGUGCCGUGGCUGUAUGUCAGAAACACAGACCUAGGUGCCGUGGCUGUAUGUCAGAAACACAGACCUAGGUGCCGUGGCUGUAUGUCAGAAACACAGACCUAGGUGCCGUGGCUGUAUGUCAGAAAUACAGCCUGGUGUGCCGUAUGUCAGAAACACAGACCUAGGUGCCGUGGCUGUACGUCAGAAAUGCAGACCUGAGUGCCGUUGGUCUCUGUGCCCGUAGUAGAAGGGAGGCCUCCUUCGCUAGCGAGUGAAAACUGUGCCUAAUACUCAGCAAGGAGAUCCAUCGUUUUUGGUGCUGUUGGUUAUUAUUACUGUAUAACAAUACAAAAGAAAGGUGAGGUGCUGGCUAACUACUACUCUCCUCUCCCACAGGGAUGAGGUUCAAGGUUUUCAUGUCCCACAGGGUUAGGGUUCUAGGCUCUCUUCUCCCACAGGGUUAGGUUAGGGUUCUAAGCUCUCUUCUCCCACAGGGUGAGGUUAGGGUUCUAGGCUCUCUUCUCCCACAGGGUGAGGUUAGGGUUCUAGGCUCUCCACUCCCACAGGGUUAGGGUUCUAGGCUCUCCACUCCCACAGGGUUAGGUUAGGGUUCUAGGCUCUUCUCUCCCACAGGGUUAGGGUUCUAGGCUCUCUUCUCCCACAGGGUUAGGUUAGGGUUCUAGGCUCUCUUCUCCCACAGGGUUAGGUUAGGGUUCUAGGCUCUCCUCUCCCACAGGGUUAGGGUUCUAGGCUCUCCUCUCCCACAGGGUUAGGUUAGGGUUCUAGGCUCUCCUUUUCUAGAUGUGCAAUCAUGUUAACAUUCCAUUCUUCCAGUCCUAUUGUUUCAGCUGUACCAGUAAACAUGACUUAUUUUAUUAUUAUUUUAUAUUUUUAUUGUGUAUGCGUUCUGAUGUGCGUGUAGAACCACUAGUCAAAGGGUGUAAAAUGUGAAAUAUGGAAAUCCAUGUUGUUUUUUUUGCUUUUGCAUUUUCCCUUUUUCAGAUGUAUUAUGUUUGAUUUUAGGAGACAGUCCAACACAAAAACAAACUUUUGUACAUAAUCCUGUAAAUGUCUUUAAAUACUUGAGCCUUUUCUGGGGUGAAGGAAGGAAUGAUGCCUCUAAAGGUUUUAGCGGAAGCAAGGGAGGAAGUGCUUGAUGAAGAAAAAGCCUUACGUUUCAGUUUCUUCAUGUGUGUGAGUUUGAUGCUUACAGGGUUGCUCUGGUUACGUGUAUACAUCUAAGUGCUGCUUACAUCAGUGAGAAAGAUAUGGAGUAGCAAUGGCCCCCUAUUUUAUUUUUAUUUUUUAGCUUUACUUUUUUAAAGAAAAGGGAAAAUAUGUUAAUAAAAAAAAUUGUUUUAAAUUUUCAUUACUGAAAAUUCAACAAUGUAGUAGCUCAUGUUGCACUGAGCUUGCCAGUGGUGGCUGACAAGGUGAUCCUAUUAUCAAGUUUGUUGGUUGUUGUCCUUUACAGAAGACUGAAUUGUUUUAGGAGUAUUUAAUGAAAACCAAGUUGGGUGUUUUCCACAGAAAGUGGUUGUCAAGUUUUUAUGGCCUUACAAUGUAUUUUAUUCAGAAUUUUUUUUUUUUUGCAUUUUCUUUUUCUACAGUAUAAACUAUUGCUCACGGUCGGUCUGGCAAGUUAAUUUAUUAGCGAUGCGUCUCCAACUUUCCUUCCACUUGGAAAGAUUUCAUGUUGGUUAUAUUGCCAGUUUUUUUUUUUUUACAUUUGCAGUUUGUACUAAAGGUUUAAUAAAAACGUACAGACAAUUCAC
ensembl:lncRNA